AGUGGGGAAUUUUGGACAAUGGGCGAAAGCCUGAUCCAGCCAUGCCGCGUGCAGGAUGAAGGCCUUCGGGUUGUAAACUGCUUUUGUACGGAACGAAAAAGCUGUUUCUAAUAAAGAGAGCUCAUGACGGUACCGUAAGAAUAAGCACCGGCUAACUACGUGCCAGCAGCCGCGGCAAUA
rnacentral:rRNA from 1 species